GACGAACGCUGGCGGCGUGCUUAACACAUGCAAGUCGAACGGAAAGGCCUGCUUUCCCUUGUGGAUUGCGGGUACUCGAGUGGCGAACGGGUGAGUAACACGUGAGUGAUCUGCCCCCAACUUGGGUAUAAGCCUGGGAAACUGGGUCUAAUUCCCGAUAGGACUGCAGGGUGGUGCCUGUGGUGGAAAACGAUUUUCUAGUGGUUGGGGAUGAGCUCGCGGCCUAUCAGCUUGUUGGUGGGGUAAUGGCCUACCAAGGCGGCGACGGGUAGCCGGCCUGAGGCGGAGGAGAGCCAAAUGGGGGCUGAGCUACGGCCCAGGAGCCAGCCGGAGGCAGCAGUGGGGCGGAGUGCACAAUGGGCGUGAGGUUGAUGCCGCGACGCCACGUGGAGGAUGCCGGCCUGCGGGUGGGAAACUCAUUUCGGUGGCAAGGAAGCCACCUGGUAGGAAGGGUGGUGACUGCACUGAUAGGAGCAGCACCGGCUAACUACGC
rnacentral:rRNA from 1 species